AUGUUUGUAGCUCACCUAGUUAGAGCAAGGCACUUGUAAUGCCAGGGUUCUGGGUUUGAAUCCCAUCGAUUAAC